rnacentral:rRNA from 1 species
GGAUUAGGCAUGCAAGUGUACGUGAUCCUCGUUCGGUGAGGUGAAAGUGGCGAACGGGUGAGUAAUGCAUAGCUAACCUCCCUUGGUACGGGGAUAACCAGGAGAAAUCUUGGCUAAUACCCGAUAGGCUCGCGGGGUUGCAUGGCCCUGCGAUUAAAGAAGGCCUCUUAGCAAUGCUUUCGACCGAGGACGGGACUAUGUCCUAUCAGCUAGUUGGUAGGGUAAUGGCCUACCAAGGCAAUGACGGGUAGCCGACCUGAGAGGGUGACCGGCCACACUGGGACUGAGACACUGCCCAGACUCCUACGGGAGGCUGCAGUCGAGAAUCUUCUUCCAAUGGGGGAAACCCUGACGGAGCGACGCCGCGUGCGGGAUGAAGGCGUUCGGGUUGUAAACCACUGUCACGCUUAAGAAGGGUCAGGCGUUAAAAGCUCUUGGCUUUGACAAAGCAGCGGGAGGAAGCCACGGCUAACUCUGUGCCAGCAGCCGCGGUAAGACAGAGGUGGCGACCGUUGUUCGGAAUCCCUGGGCAUAAAGCGCGCGUAGGCGGCAUGGUAAGUCGGGUGUGAAAUCCCUCGGCCCAACCGAGGAAUUGCG